AUACAGCUGACGAGUCUCAAAUAGGACGAAACUCGUUUCCUGGAU
rnacentral:hammerhead_ribozyme from 1 species